GUGGGGAAUAUUGCACAAUGGGCGAAAGCCUGAUGCAGCAACGCCGCGUGAGGGACGACGGCCUUCGGGUUGUAAACCUCUUUUAGUAGGGAAGAAGCGAAAGUGACGGUACCUGCAGAAAAAGCACCGGCUAACUACGUGCCAGCAGCCGCGGUAAUACGUAGGGUGCAAGCGUUAUCCGGAAUUAUUGGGCGUAAAGAGCUCGUAGGCGGUCUGUCGCGUCUGCUGUGAAGACUGGAGGCUCAACCUCCAGCCUGCAGUGGGUACGGGCAGACUAGAGUGCGGUAGGGGAGAUUGGAAUUCCUGGUGUAGCGGUGGAAUGCGCAGAUAUCAGGAGGAACACCGAUGGCGAAGGCAGAUCUCUGGGCCGUAACUGACGCUGAGGAGCGAAAGCGUGGGGAGCGAACAGGAUUAGAAACCCGGGUAGUCC
rnacentral:rRNA from 1 species